UGUAAUUUUUUGUUUAGGGAUGUUUGAUUAUGGCUUUACAAUCUGAUUCUAGUGAACGUUGCAUUAAUAUUAAAAGAAUUGAGUUCUUUUUGAUUUUAAGAAGUCCAAAUUAGCAUAAGUUUUAGAGAAAACAAGCGAUUGUGUUCUAGUGCAUUAGAUAUAGGUGGCUAAGUGAAUGCCAGCAGCUGCGGUUAUAUUUGCGCCUGUAAAGAUUGUUAGCGGAUAGGUUAGAGGUAAUAGUUAAAUUAAGAAAAGUAAAGGUAAAAUAAUUAAGUAGGUGGAAUUUAAAUCUUUAUUUGAGACUCUUUUUAUUUCUUUUAAAUUUCUUACUUGACUAAGGAGAUAAACUAGGAUUGGAUACCCUAUUAUUCUUAGAGUAAAUGACACACUUCUUCACAACUAUGUAUUAGACUACUAAAGGGAAAUAAAUAGGCGGUGUAAAAGAUAAAAAGCAGGGGAACCUGGGUAUUAAAGGACGAUCCACCAAGAUUGUUCCUUUUUCUAUUUUGCAUUUGUAUGGUUCUUUACCUUCAUUUGUAAGCUUUUAGGUAAACUUUAUAAUUUGGUUAUUAGUGUGCUACAUUAAAAGCUGGGUUUUAUGACGAAUACUUGUUAUCGUUAUAUGGAGUGCCUUUAAAAUAAUUGAGAUUGACAUGGGGCAGUAAAAAGGCUUCCCUGGGUUACAUUUGUAUAAUAGAGAGUGUUAAGUAUAGUUUUAGCUAUCUAAUAGUUAUCGGAUAAUAGAAGUCUUAAUAAAUUUUCUUUGAAGUAGUACUUGCAAGUAAAAAAAGUUUAUAAUACUUUUUUGAAUCCUCUUUU
rnacentral:rRNA from 1 species